UUAAAUUGAAGAGUUUGAUCAUGGCUCAGAUUGAACGCUGGCGGCAGGCCUAACACAUGCAAGUCGAACGGUAACAGGAAGAAGCUUGCUUCUUUGCUGACGAGUGGCGGACGGGUGAGUAAUGUCUGGGAAACUGCCUGAUGGAGGGGGAUAACUACUGGAAACGGUAGCUAAUACCGCAUAACGUCGCAAGACCAAAGAGGGGGACCUUCGGGCCUCUUGCCAUCGGAUGUGCCCAGAUGGGAUUAGCUUGUUGGUGGGGUAACGGCUCACCAAGGCGACGAUCCCUAGCUGGUCUGAGAGGAUGACCAGCCACACUGGAACUGAGACACGGUCCAGACUCCUACGGGAGGCAGCAGUGGGGAAUAUUGCACAAUGGGCGCAAGCCUGAUGCAGCCAUGCCGCGUGUAUGAAGAAGGCCUUCGGGUUGUAAAGUACUUUCAGCGGGGAGGAAGGGAGUAAAGUUAAUACCUUUGCUCAUUGACGUUACCCGCAGAAGAAGCACCGGCUAACUCCGUGCCAGCAGCCGCGGUAAUACGGAGGGUGCAAGCGUUAAUCGGAAUUACUGGGCGUAAAGCGCACGCAGGCGGUUUGUUAAGUCAGAUGUGAAAUCCCCGGGCUCAACCUGGGAACUGCAUCUGAUACUGGCAAGCUUGAGUCUCGUAGAGGGGGGUAGAAUUCCAGGUGUAGCGGUGAAAUGCGUAGAGAUCUGGAGGAAUACCGGUGGCGAAGGCGGCCCCCUGGACGAAGACUGACGCUCAGGUGCGAAAGCGUGGGGAGCAAACAGGAUUAGAUACCCUGGUAGUCCACGCCGUAAACGAUGUCGACUUGGAGGUUGUGCCCUUGAGGCGUGGCUUCCGGAGCUAACGCGUUAAGUCGACCGCCUGGGGAGUACGGCCGCAAGGUUAAAACUCAAAUGAAUUGACGGGGGCCCGCACAAGCGGUGGAGCAUGUGGUUUAAUUCGAUGCAACGCGAAGAACCUUACCUGGUCUUGACAUCCACGGAAGUUUUCAGAGAUGAGAAUGUGCCUUCGGGAACCGUGAGACAGGUGCUGCAUGGCUGUCGUCAGCUCGUGUUGUGAAAUGUUGGGUUAAGUCCCGCAACGAGCGCAACCCUUAUCCUUUGUUGCCAGCGGUCCGGCCGGGAACUCAAAGGAGACUGCCAGUGAUAAACUGGAGGAAGGUGGGGAUGACGUCAAGUCAUCAUGGCCCUUACGACCAGGGCUACACACGUGCUACAAUGGCGCAUACAAAGAGAAGCGACCUCGCGAGAGCAAGCGGACCUCAUAAAGUGCGUCGUAGUCCGGAUUGGAGUCUGCAACUCGACUCCAUGAAGUCGGAAUCGCUAGUAAUCGUGGAUCAGAAUGCCACGGUGAAUACGUUCCCGGGCCUUGUACACACCGCCCGUCACACCAUGGGAGUGGGUUGCAAAAGAAGUAGGUAGCUUAACCUUCGGGAGGGCGCUUACCACUUUGUGAUUCAUGACUGGGGUGAAGUCGUAACAAGGUAACCGUAGGGGAACCUGCGGUUGGAUCACCUCCUUACCUUAAAGAAGC
rnacentral:rRNA from 4 species